rnacentral:tRNA from 1 species
AAAAUCCCGUCGAUUUUUUGAAUCAAGAGGGUUCAAGUCCC